ensembl:lncRNA
ACUAGAAAACUAACCAUAAAUUGGUUGAAUUUAAUACAAAGUCAAGUUAGAUGAUUGAAAAUGAAAAGGCCAAUCUGUUUGGUCUUCCGGCUUUGUGAUAUGAACUACACAUCUGCGAUUGCCUUUUCCAACAGGCUCCGGUGUUACAUUAUAUUAUCUUGCCAAAAUACUGCUUCUUUGGCUUUCACCGAUGUGUUUUAGCACAUUUAAUGAGAUUAUUUCUCCUUACAGUAUAACUCUGCCUCCCAGAAAUGUUUGUACUACUCAAACUCAAAUCUGCAUCAAUGAGCUCCGCGUUGCCGCCAGACUAUGAGACGAGCUUCAAUGGGGCGUGAUCUGACGCCACCUAACUGGAUGAAAAGCUGUGUUCCGGCCACUAAACUGUUCAAAUAAAACAGACAUGAACAGACAUUCUAAUCCUUACGCUGAGGAGAAAAUAUGGGUCUUGAUCGGCCGUUUACAGUGAAAUUGUGUGAGCAGAAUUGCUGUGUGGGGAAUGUGAGCAGUGAUCUGUUAGCUAAAAAGCCGAGAAGCCUGGUUAAUAGGCUCACAGCUGUCUUUUCUAUGCCAAGGCAGCACUGCGGAGGGAACCAAAGAGGUGAAAGACAUAUUUUGGCAGCUGCUCAGUAAUGAGACAUAAGGAGCUGGAAUGAAUCACUAAAGCAAAAAAAUCAAUAAGGUUUUCUUGAGUUCUGUUGUAAUGGGACACCAAGAAGAAAUUUAAGAUUACACAAAAAAGGAACAAGAGAAAGGUUUCUUGAUAUAAUGAAUCAUGCUAUGCAUGGAUUUAGAGAGGAUGGAUGAAGGAAGUGAGGAGAGGAUGUGUUUAUUAUGUCAAAGAAGCGUUCUCAAAAACGGUCUGAUUAAAGACAGCCCCAUAAAAUCUCAAAAACACUCAUUUUGCAGGAGUUUUAUUCAUGCUGUAAAUUCUGCAGAAACCAACAAUCACUCUCUUUGAGGGCCUGCUUCGAUCUCUCACUAUGUGUCAACAACGGAAUCAAGGAAGGAUACCUUGUGCCCAGUGGCGGCUGGUGGAAAAUGUUCUAGGUAGGGCAAUCAAAUAAAUUUCAGCAAACAUGGAUUUAAUGCAAAACCAUUAAGCUAUCAAAAACACAUUACUACUUUGCAGUUAAAUAUUUAUUCCAACAUGAAAAAAAAGCAGUAAAUGACUUUUACAAUAUUAUGUCGUCACCCUCACAUUAAUUAGUAUGAUAUAAUAUGCACUGUAUGUAUGUUAGUCGUCUCGUCUGCCUGAAUGGCAAUAAAAUCCGUGCUCUCUACUUCCUCCAGAAUUUCAUCCACCUGACAAUACCAGCCUUGACAAGAAGGUGCAAGCUUCAGGCAAAACCAAUGUCCCCGGGCUGAGUCUUUAAGGAUGCUGAUUGGCUAAAUUGUAUGUCACAUUUUUUUAAUUUAAUCAAUCGCUCCAUCAAUUUGUGCAGAUAUCAUAUUUUACAAACAUUACUGCAUCGUGCAUACCAUUUAAAAAAAAUACAAAUAUUGACAUUUUUUUAUAAUCUAAUAUCUUUUUAUUUUUAUUUUUUGGGGCCUUAAGAAAGGGUGGGAAUCGCCAUCAGACAAUAGCACGAUAACACAGACUGUUUACCUGCAUUACACCACAGCCUGCUCGAACAUCAUUGAACAGUACUACUGAGACUACAAACAGACAAUUCGAUAUUCCAGGAGAGAAUGUUCCGAGUUUUUCAUCAGAAAACCAGAAUAACUUUGGUUCCUUUUAGCCUGAGCCUUCUGGAGUUUCACUAACAGAUAACUGUAGACUGGUAAGACUGAAAUGCACUGCUUCUUUUAGACAGUUAGUGCAUCAGUAUCAGCAGACUGCAACAAGAGAUCAAAAGACAAGCCAGGGUUGUUCAUUUUACUGAAUUGUGAUGAUCUUCAUACCUUCACCGUGGGAAAAGUGAUAACAUUUUAUAACAGAUAAUCCAUCCAUCUAUCCAUCCAUUGUCAAACCGCUUAUCCUGCUCACAGGGUCUCGGGGGGGGCUGGAGUCUAUCCCAGCCAACUUCGGGUGAGAGACUGGGUACACCCUGGACUGGUUGCCAGCCAAUCACAGGGCUACACAGAAACAUACAACCAUUCACACUCACAUUCCCACACCUACGGGCAAUUUAGAGUCCCCAAUCAACCUGAUUCCCAGUGCAUGUCAUGAUAAUGUUUUUAUUUAAAUUAGAUCAUGUUCUAAGCUAACUUAAUUAUUUUAUUAAAUGUGGAAAUGCUUAUUUCAUUCCAUGAUAUGGUAAUACAACCUAUACCAACAAAUCUGCAAAUGAAAUGCAGAUUCAAAGUUAUAUAUACCUACAGAACAUGAGGGAAAUUAUAGUAUAUAGGUAGUAACCAGACCCCUCAGUGGUAAACUUAUUUUCUUCUUCACAUUUGAACAGAGUAGAUAAAAUAAGAUGGCUGGGGGGACACUUCCAAACUUCACUUCAUGUUUCACAAAGUUCUGUUACUAAUAAUUAUUUGUUUUACCUAAAGUAAACAUGCAUGUUUAAAAUUUUAAACUAUUGAUAUUAUUACUGUUUUUUGUAUGCACGGAU